rnacentral:rRNA from 1 species
UACAGAGGGUGCAAGCGUUGUUCGGAAUUAUUGGGCGUAAAGCGCGUGUAGGCGGCUUUGCAAGUCGGGUGUGAAAAGCCCUCAGCUCAACUGAGGAAGUGCGCCCGAAACUGCAGAGCUUGAGUGCCGGAGAGGGUGGCGGAAUUCCCCAAAGUAGAGGUGAAAUUCGUAGAUAUGGGGAGGAACACCGGUGGCGAAGGCGGCCACCUGGACGGUAACUGACGCUGAGACGCGAAAGCGUGGGGAGCAAACAGG